ensembl:lncRNA
UUAUUAUAGAAGAAAAAGAAUGAAUAUUUAUUGAACACUAACUAAGGGCCAGGCAUUGGUGCAAGAACUUCAUGUGUGUUAUUUUGUUGAUCUUCACAACAACCCUCUGAGGCAAAUGCUCUUUUUUUCCUCCUUUACAGACAAGGAAACUGAGAGACAGAUGCCUUGUUCUACAGCUCCUCUGGAGCAACCUCCCUCACUGCGCUCAGGCCAUGCAUGCGGUUUUGUCAGACGACAGGUCUGUGCCUGCUCAUCUUGACUGAUUAGGCUUUAUUGUAGGUAUACACAACACGAGUGAUCACCCCUCAUUUUACAGUUGAAGAAACUGAAGCCCAGAGAAGUUGUCACUUAACUAUGUUGGUGACAGAGCAGAGGUCUAAAACCAAAGUGCCCCGACCCCAGUCAAUGGUCACCCCAGUGUCUCCCAGCAGAAGAGGACACAGAUAAAGAAGCUGGAGUUUGAAGAGGUGGAAUCACUUGUCCAGGGUUACUCAGCCAGACAAGGACCAGAACCAGUGCUUGGGUGUUUCACCUCCAAGUCCAGCCACCUUUCCACUACAUCACGAGGUGCCUCGGACAGAGCACCCGGUUAGGAGGUCCUCCCAGCAGGGAGGUCGUAGGGCGGUGGCUUUGGGUAUAGGAGGAGAUGUCGUGAGCUAAGAUGAGGGUGCCUGUCUCAGGGGCGCAGCUCUAAAAGCAUCGUGGCAGGCGCGCCAGCGAGUUAGCCAUGAGGUCAGGAGCAGCACGAUGUCAGUCCUGGCAGACGUGUGGAGCAUGGAGCCACACGGAGACUUGAGUUCAAAGCGAAGUCUCAGCAGAUGUGGGUAGAGCAGAGAGUCAGCCUGGCCUGGCGGCCACCGUAACAGGAUUCUGGUCCUGGAAGCCUCACUUUGGGACUUUGGGUCAGUCAUUUAAACUCUUUGAGCCUCA